rnacentral:lncRNA from 1 species
UCCUAUCAUGAUCGACUUUACUCUGAGCUUCUUUCGGACUUCGUCAAUGUCCGGGCUUCUCCAGCAGUAGAACUUCUACAGUAACUAGACUCCAUCCAAGUUUCUACAGUGGUCGAUCGCCUUUCGAAUUUCAUCCGAGCUUCUACAGUAAACAAAUUUCGUCUGAACUUCUAUUGCAAGCGGACUUCAUUCGAGUCUCUAUGGUAAGUGGACUUCAUCCGAGCUUCUACAAUAAGCGGUCUCCAUCCGGGCUUCCACGAUAACCGAUCUCCAUCCGAGCUUCUACAAUAAGCAGUCUCC